rnacentral:rRNA from 1 species
CCUACGGGAGACAGCAGUGGGGAAUAUUGCACAAUGGGGGAAACCCUGAUGCAGCGACGCCGCGUGAAGGAUGAAGUAUUUCGGUAUGUAAACUUCUAUCAGCAGGGAAGAAAAUGACGGUACCUUACUAAGAAGCCCCGGCUAACUACGUGCCAGCAGCCGCGGUAAUACGUAGGGGGCAAGCGUUAUCCGGAUUUACUGGGUGUAAAGGGAGCGCAGGCGGCACGGCAAGCCUGAUGUGAAAGCCCGCGGCCCAACCGCGGGACUGCAUUGGGAACUACCGGGCUGGAGUGCCGGAGAGGUAGGCGGAAUGCCUAGUGUAGCGGUGAAAUGCGUAGAUAUUAGGAGGAACACCAGUGGCGAAGGCGGCCUACUGGACGGUGACUGACGCUGAGGCUCGAAAGCGUGGGGAGCAAACAGGAUUAGAUACCCCUGGUAGUC